ACAUGCGCGUCUACCAAUUUCAACGAGACAUUUCGAUACUUUAUUCUUAACGCUCAGCGAACAGCUUUAAGUCUGCAAAUUUCUUAUCGAGAGGUCAGUGGUAAUCAAUGUGGAAAGCAGAUGUUGGUUGCAAAUGCUGGUUUUCAAAGAAUUUCAUUCAACUUAUCGAUUAAAGAGUUCUUUGAGGAAAUUACAAAAAGACUCAUGAUCCACAGCUAUCUAAUCAGAACGAAUAGAAAGUAUAUUAAAGGUCUUCAGUGUCACAAAGAAGGGCAAAUUGCAAACAUCUCCAUAAAUAUGGUCCGAUCUUGGGUCAGAAUAAUGAGCUAUAAUCUUGGAUUUCUAUCCUUGAAUAAACCCAGUAAACUUGUUAAGGUAGCGGCAGUGAAACCUGGCACAAAGGAUCAGUGUGCUUUUCAAAUUCAGUUGUUGAAACAUCUCUCCAAGGAUGUCUAUGAUAUGAAUGGCCGUUUCAAGAGUACUGGGACACAAAAGUGUAUCAUUGCUGCUUGUUAACCCAAGGGGCUGAAAAACUACAAAAAAAGGUAACAUUUCUUCAGAAAUGAUAAACAUGAAUGCAAUGCUUUGAAUAAGUGCUAUGAUAUGAUAUUUUGGUUGAUAUAUAGUUAUUUAUUAAUUGUGAUGUAUUUAUAUUUAAUACUACAAUAAUUUGUAUAUAUAAUUCAUUGUAUCAUAUGAAAUGCAUAUGAUAUAAUAGUAGGAACAUAAUUUCAAUGUUAAUGAAGCAUUAAUUAAACAAUAUAGCAUAGUAUAUAUCAUUUAAAUAAGUUAAAACAGAAAUCGUAAUGCCCAUAUAAUAUUAAUGCAUGCAAAUCUUAUAUAGGUUUUACAGGACAACAAAUUACAAUUUUUUCAGCUCA